rnacentral:snRNA from 1 species
GUGCUUGCUUUGGCAGUACAUAUACUAAAAUUGGAACAAUACGGAAAUUAGCAUGACCACUGCACAAGGAUGAUACGCAAAUUCGUGAAGUGUAUCCAUGAAAG